GAUGAACGCUGGCGGCGUGCUUAACACAUGCAAGUCGAACGGAAAGGCUCCUGCUUGCAGGGGUACUCGAGUGGCGAACGGGUGAGUAACACGUGGGUGAUCUGCCCUGCACUUCGGGAUAAGCCUGGGAAACUGGGUCUAAUACCAGAUAGGACGAUGGUUUGGAUGCCAUUGUGGAAAGUUUUUCGGUGUGGGAUGAGCUCGCGGCCUAUCAGCUUGUUGGUGGGGUAAUGGCCUACCAAGGCGUCGACGGGUAGCCGGCCUGAGAGGGUGUACGGCCACAUUGGGACUGAGAUACGGCCCAGACUCCUACGGGAGGCAGCAGUGGGGAAUAUUGCACAAUGGGCGCAAGCCUGAUGCAGCGACGCCGCGUGGGGGAUGACGGCCUUCGGGUUGUAAACUCCUUUCGCUAGGGACGAAGCGCAAGUGACGGUACCUGGAGAAGAAGCACCGGCUAACUACGUG
rnacentral:rRNA from 1 species